rnacentral:rRNA from 1 species
GUAGGUGGCAAGCGUUGUUUGGAAUUAUUGGGCGUAAAGCGCGCGCAGGCGGUUCUUUAAGUCUGAUGUGAAAGCCCACGGCUCAACCGUGGAGGGUCAUUGGAAACUGGAGAACUUGAGUACAGAAGAGGAAAGCGGAAUUCCACGUGUAGCGGUGAAAUGCGUAGAGAUGUGGAGGAACACCAGUGGCGAAGGCGGCUUUCUGGUCUGUAACUGACGCUGAGGCGCGAAAGCGUGGGGAGCAAACAGGGAUUAGAUACCCUGGUAGUCCACGCCGUAAACGAUGAGUGCUAAGUGUUAGGGGGUUUCCGCCCCCUUAGUGCUGCAGCUAACGCAUUAAGCACUCCGCCUGGGGAGUACGGCCGCAAGGCUG